UGGAAAGUGUGCUUCUUUGCCACGUUGCCAUGGUGGCAGAUAUAGGGGGCACAAAUGUAGAUGAUGCAACGAGGCGAAUGAUGUCAAACGAGCUGGCAUUGGACUAUAACAUGUUUGGCCGUCACGGGAAAAAGAAGUUUAAGGACUUGUGUCUUUUCAACGUUGUGUAUGAGGCUCUUAAGAAGAAUUCGUUGGUGAACCAGCAGGAGGCAGAGAGGGCACUGUCGAAAUGGCUCAUUGGGGCAAGAGACAGAGGAGGACGAAGGGCAUCCAGACAGCCAGUGCCAAAUUAAAAAGUACUGAGCAGUGGUGGAAUAUGAGUGAGUUGUAUUCAGGUCGCAGAGCCGCGAGGAACUUUAACAUGAAGUCUGAGAGGAAGCUGUCAGCGAAGAGGGAACAGGUCACAGAGCUGCGAGGAACUUUAAUAUGAAGUCUGAGAGCUGUCAGCAGACCAGGGGAC